rnacentral:tRNA from 1 species
ACUUUUUUAGUAUAAAUAAAUAUAUUUGACUUCCAAUCAAAAGAUCUUAAUAAAGAGAAAGUA